AUAUCUCGUAAAUUGUAUGAUCAAAAAUAAUAGAUGCAAAUGUUGAAUUU
rnacentral:sRNA from 16 species